UACGGGGGGGGCAAGCGUUGUUCGGAAUUACUGGGCGUAAAGGGCUCGUAGGUGGCCAACUAAGUCGGACGUGAAAUCCCUCAGCUUAACUGGGGAACUGCGUCCGAUACUGGAUGGCUUGAGUUUGGGAGAGGGAUGUGGAAUUCCAGGUGUAGCGGUGAAAUGCGUAGAUAUCUGGAGGAACACCGGUGGCGAAGGCGGCAUCCUGGACCAACACUGACACUGAGGAGCGAAAGCCAGGGGAGCAAACGGG
rnacentral:rRNA from 1 species